rnacentral:rRNA from 1 species
UACGUAGGGGGCAAGCGUUGUCCGGAAUUAUUGGGCGUAAAGAGCGUGUAGGCGGUCCGGUAAGUCCGCUGUGAAAGUCCAGGGCUCAACCCUGGAAUGCCGGUGGAUACUGCCGGGCUAGAGUCCGGAAGAGGCGAGUGGAAUUCCUGGUGUAGCGGUGAAAUGCGUAGAUAUCGGGAGGAACACCUGUGGCGAAAGCGGCUCACUGGACCACAACUGACGCUGAGGCGCGAAAGCUAGGGGAGCAAACAGG